rnacentral:rRNA from 1 species
CGCUGGCGGCGUGCUUAACACAUGCAAGUCGAACGGGGAUAAUGCGGAAGGACUCGGUUGGAAGCGAUAUCGAGUGGCGGACGGGUGAGUAACGCGUGAGCAAUCUGUCCCAGACAGGGGGAUAACACUUGGAAACAGGUGCUAAUACCGCAUGAGACCACGGAUGGGCAUCCAUUUGGGGUAAAAGGUGCAAACCGGUUUGGGGUGAGCUCGCGUCCGAUUAGCCAGUUGGCGGGGUAACGGCCCACCAAAGCGACGAUCGGUAGCCGACCUGAGAGGGUGAUCGGCCACAUUGGAACUGAGAGACGGUCCAAACUCCUACGGGAGGCAGCAGUGGGGAAUAUUGGGCAAUGGGCGAAAGCCUGAACCCCAGCAACGCCGCGUGAGUGAAGAAGGCCUUCGGGUUGUAAAGCUCUGUUACAGGUGACGAAGGAAGUGACGGUAAUCUGUAAGGAAGCCCCGGCUAACUACGUGCCAGCAGCAGC